GUUAAAACUUCUUGAACAUUUGCUUUUUUAACAGUUAACUAUUAUAAUCAGGUUAUGAUUAUGGCAAUUCGAUCAAAUAUAAUUUACAAAGAAAACUUAUGAAUAGAAGCCAUGGAGAGCUAAUAACUUUCAUUAUUACCAACCUGAUAAACGACAGAGAGAAAAUGAAAGUAAGUACAGUACUAGGAAACAACGUAAAUAAUCAUCUAAAAUAUUUUUUUGUAUUGCUUACAUUUUUUCUUAUAUUAUUGCUUUACACUUCAGUUUUUAUUAUUUUUUUCCCCCAAAUGAUGAGUGAUAAAAUCAUUUACAGCCAAUCGGAGACGCAGGAACAGUAAAAACGGCUGGUGUGCACGUCAGUGUAGUUAUUUACAAUAAAUAAAACAGUGAAUAAAUUGGUAAGUGACAUAAUAAUGAUUCAUCGAAUUACAUUAAACUUUUAUAACAAUGACUUUUAUUUUGACAUCAAACUCCGGAAGUUGUCUCCGGAAGUCCUCGCUGAGCGCAAAGAGUUGUACCUGUCUGCGUGCGUAUGUUCAAAAGAAACCGGUUUAUUUGUCCGGCGUGAAUUACAUUUGUGGUCUUCGGUGUGGACACGAAUGUACCGCUUAUACUUCGAGUCAAGUGACCAAUUUUAGGUUUAAACUCUUCUAAAUGUCAUGGAGAACUUUGUGGUUUACAUUCCCAAGGAAGCAUGUGUCAAAAACAUGCCUCUGCAGUCCCUGUCCAGCUCCACAGCCAGGAAGAUCAGUGUCGCUCUGUUUCCGCAUGGAUCAGAGAAACAGGUGCCGCAGACGGUGACGCGGAUCUGUCCGGUUGAGCUGCGGGAGAAAGAAGUGGCUGUGGGCAAGGACCGCAGAGAACCGGUCCCACUGAGCCAGAGGCAGCUGGUUUCCAAAAUAACUCCAGGUCAGUUUUCACUGCCUGUUGUGAGUUCCAGCAAAACUGCCUUUAAGGCCUUAAGAAGGAUCUUAAAAGAACAUAAGCCUGAAAUACAGUUUUCGGGGCUGGACAGUGAAGCUGCCUCUCUGCCCAGCAUCAGGAAUUCUGAUGUUCGGCGAAAUGCCAUCAUUCUGUAUAACGGCCAGAUCUUCCUCUCAGUGAGGCGAGUGAGAUUACAGAACUCUCCCUCAGCACCUCCAGCUGUGUGUCCUGUUUCUCCCAGUCAACAGAACCAGAUUAACACAUCUAGAUGUCAAGCACAAGCACUCCUGGAAACGUCACCCAGACCACAACAGAGCAAGAGUCAGGAUGUUCAGACUCCAGUCAGAGAUCUUGAUAUUAACACUCUUCUGAACAAAGUCUCUGAAGAAAUGCCUGAACAAUGCUGUACAGACAAAGAAUGUCAAAAGGAAGAGGAGACAGCCUCAGAGUCCAGGUCACGGAGUAGCGACCCUAAAUCUCCUGAGGGUCUGGAGUCUGGUCAGGAGACGUCUAGUUCCCUGCCUAGUAUCUUCCAGCCGUCCCAGAUCAACCACACAUCUUCUGGCAUCUCAGAACAGCCCGAAGAAGCAGCAGGAGGACAAAGAGAGACAUCUGAGGAUGACAAUGAGCGUUCAGAGGGCGCAUUGCUCCCCAGGGCCGAGAGCUGUCUUGCAUUUGAUUUUGAACAGUUGGCCCAGGAGGAGAGAAUCAACCACCUACGAGCUCAGCUGAGACAGAAGGAAGCCGCACUCAGCAUCUUCAACUUGAAGCCGACGGAUCAGAUUUAG
ensembl:lncRNA